UAGUAAUACGUUGCACGGCCCUUAUUUCCGGAUCCGGCGUACCUGACACAAGUGUUAGCCAUUUGGACUUCAAGCGGGUGUUCAAGUUAAAACGGUGGCUACAUUUGAUUGAUUGUAAUGAAACCCAUCCUACUGCAGGGCAACGAACGCUCCACCACACGCAUGAAGUAAAACGUGGCCAACAUGUGGUAUGACUCGAUUCCUAAAAUGCACACACCGGUGCUGUGCGCUGCAUCGACUGUCACUGCGACUCCAAAAAUGUUUUGACAGGAUCAGCUGAAACAGCUGUUGACUGUGGGACUGCGAGACCAAGCAUGCGGGUUCGAUUUCAGCGGCAACAUCAACAUGUUUUCCACAGACAAGCAGAUGGGCUAUCAGUGUUUCAUGAACUUCUUCGACUUGAGUGAUCCAUAAUAGAUCGAGAAGUCCUGAAGAAAGCUAAGGAGCACAGCAGGCACAUCGACAUCCAGAUGACUGUAGACCUCACCAUAUUUAUCAGUGCCUCAAAGGACAACACCGCCAAGGUGGUUAUGGGAGGAGGCCACGGAAGUGACCACAACUUCCACCAGGCGAGGUUAGUUGGAGUGGUGUUUCCAGAGUAUUAUUGUGCAGUUGAGUAAAGCAUUCAGUGACUGUUGUCUUCAGCUGAACAAAAGAAACAGAUGUAACUUAUUCCAUUGUGGUGUUAGCAUUAGCACUGAAGAAGCCAUGACUUUGUUAAAAACAGACCUUUAUGUAAUGUUGUUUUAUUGAAUUGUGUAACUUGAGCUGUAUUUGAUUGCUAUUGUCACUAGACAGUGCAAUAGAGAGAGUAACUUUAUUUGAAGCAGAUCACUUCUUGUUUGUUGGACUUGUCAUUACAAAGUUGUAGUGACUUUCAUUGUGUAACUUGAUUGCUAUUGACACUUUUUUUUUGACUUAGUGUUUUUUUUAGUUCAAUUCUUGACUUAGUUACGUAGUGCAAUCAUUGUGUAACUUGAUGUCUUGUAAACCUUCCAAUAAAAGAAAAUUGUUGGAGCUUUGUGUCCAUUAUUAUAUUUAUAAUGGUUAUUUGAAGAUAUUGAGCCAAAGUGAAUGGGGUUUACCAUUGCCCUUUUUGGCGUGCAUUGUUAAAGUCAAGGUUGUAGGUAAAGGAAAAGAAAGAAAAACAGAAAAGGAAAAAAAAAAUUUAAUUUAAAUUUAUUUUAAUUUUUGUUAGUUAUGUAAAAACUAUCUAGUAAAAAAUAAGCUAAAACUAAGUUACAAACCAACCAGAAUACUUCCACAAUGAACAGAACAAUAACAUCAUUUUACUCUUUUAAUAGCAAAACACUUCACAUUUACAAAACAUGCAUUCAAUCACAAA